GACGAACGCUGGCGGCGUGCUUAACACAUGCAAGUCGAACGGUAAGGCCCUUCGGGGUACACGAGUGGCGAACGGGUGAGUAACACGUGGGCGAUCUGCCCUGCACUUCGGGAUAAGCCUGGGAAACUGGGUCUAAUACCGGAUAGGACUCCGGACUGCAUGGUCUGGGGUGGAAAGCUUUUGCGGUGUGGGAUGGGCCCGCGGCCUAUCAGCUUGUUGGUGGGGUGAGGGCCUACCAAGGCGACGACGGGUAGCCGGCCCGACGAGGGUGACCGGCCACACUGGGACUGAGAUACGGCCCAGACUCCUACGGGAGGCAGCAGUGGGGAAUAUUGCACAAUGGGCGCAAGCCUGAUGCAGCGACGCCGCGUGAGGGAUGACGGCCUCCGGGUUGUAAACCUCUUUCAGCACAGACGAAGCGCAAGUGACGGUAUGUGCAGAAGAAGGACCGGCCAACUACGUGCCAGCCGCCGCGGUAA
rnacentral:rRNA from 1 species